GUGGGGAAUAUUCCGCAAUGGACGAAAGUCUGACGGAGCAACGCCGCGUGAGUGAUGAAGGUUUUCGGACUGUAAAGCUCUGUUGUUUAGGACGAAAGUGCCUGUUGCAAAUAGUUACAGGUAUUGACGGUACUGAGCGAGGAAGCCACGGCUAACUACGUGCCAGCAGCCGCGGUAAUACGUAGGUGGCAAGCGUUGUCCGGAAUUAUUGGGCGUAAAGAGCAUGUAGGCGGGAAUCUAAGUCUGUUGUGAAAAUGCGGGGCUCAACCCCGUAUUGCGAUGGAAACUGGGUUUCUUGAGUGCAGGAGAGGAAAGGGGAAUUCCCAGUGUAGCGGUGAAAUGCGUAGAUAUUGGGAGGAACACCAGUGGCGAAGGCGCCUUUCUGGACUGUGUCUGACGCUGAGAUGCGAAAGCCAGGGUAGCGAACGGGAUUAGAUACCCCGGUAGUCC
rnacentral:rRNA from 1 species